rnacentral:rRNA from 1 species
AAUAGAUACCCUGGUAGUCCACGCCCUAAACUAUGGAUACUCGACAUCAGCGAUACACUGUUGGUGUCUGAGCGAAAGCAUUAAGUAUCCCACCUGGGAAGUACGACCGCAAGGUUGAAACUCAAAGGAAUUGGCGGGGGUCCGCACAAGCGGUGGAGCACGUGGUUUAAUUCGAUGAUACGCGAGGAACCUUACCUGGGCUAGAAUGCUGGGAGACCGAGAGUGAAAGCUCUCUUUGUAGCAAUACACUGCCAGUAAGGUGCUGCAUGGCUGUCGUCAGCUCGUGCCGUGAGGUGUUGGGUUAAGUCCCGCAACGAGCGCAACCCCCAUCACUAGUUGCCAUCAGGUAACGCUGGGAACUCUAGUGAAACUGCCGUCGUAAGACGUGAGGAAGGAGGGGAUGAUGUCAAGUCAUCAUGGCCUUUAUGCCCAGGGCUACACACGUGCUACAAUGGGGCGUACAAAGGGCUGCAACACAGCGAUGUGAAGCUAAUCCCAAAAAACGCCUCUC